rnacentral:rRNA from 1 species
UACGAAGGGGGCUAGCGUUGUUCGGAAUGACUGGGCGUAAAGGGUGUGUAGGCGGUUAUACGCGUCAGAUGUGAAAUCCCCGGGCUUAACCUGGGAAUGGCAUUUGAUACGGUAUAGCUAGAGAUUGGUAGAGGGUAGAGGAAUUGCGAGUGUAGAGGUGAAAUUCGUAGAGAUUCGCAGGAACACCGGUGGCGAAGGCGGCUACCUGGGCCAAUACUGACGCUGAGGCACGAGAGCGUGGGGAGCAAACAGG